GCGCCUUUAGCUCAGAUGGUAGAGCAUCGGACUUUUAAUCCGCUGGUCGCGGGUUCGAUCCCCGCAGGGCGCA
rnacentral:tRNA from 1 species